rnacentral:rRNA from 1 species
CCUACGGGAGGCAGCAGUGGGGGAUAUUGCACAAUGGGGGGAACCCUGAUGCAGCGACGCCGCGUGGGUGAAGGAGUGCUUCGGCAUGUAAAGCCCUAUCGGCAGGGAAGAAGCAAGACGGUACCUGACUAAGAAGCCCCGGCUAACUACGUGACAGCAGCCGCGGUAAGACGUAGGGGGCGAGCGUUAUCCGGAUUCACGGGGGGUAAAGGGAGCGGAGGCGGUCAGGCAAGCCAGGGGUGAAAGCCCGGGGCGCAACCCAGGGACUGCCCUUGGACCUGCCUGGCUUGAGGGCGGGAGGGGCAGGCGGAAUUCCUGGUGUAGCGGUGAAAUGCGUAGAUAUCAGGAGGAACACCGGCGGCGAAGGCGGCCUGCUGGACCGCGACUGACGUUGAGGCUCGAAAGCGUGGGGAGCGAACAGGAUUAGAUACCCUGGUAGUC